CUCAGAUCUCUCAGUUUUCUCUUAUUGUGUUAAAAGUUUCUAAAACUUGCUUUAAUUUCCAUCUUUAGAAAGCCAUACUCAAACAAGACCAUGGCUAUUUGCAUGGCUCGUUGUUAUUAAAAGUAAACAAAUUUUUAGGCGGUUUUCAAAAGACACUGUGUUCCAAAGGGACAUAUUGCUGUUUAUGUUGGGGAGAUUCAGAAGAAACAAAUUGUUAUUCCCUUAACACACUUGAAUCAGCCUUUGUUUCAAGAUUUAUUAAGUCAAGUUGAAGAAGAAUU
rnacentral:lncRNA from 1 species